UGGGGGGCGCGGCUGCCUCGCGGCUGCGCGGAAGCCCCUGGGCCGGAGAAGACCGUGUGGGCGUGGGCUCCUGCUUCGCGUUCCCGGUUCUCCUGCGAUCCGCCGAUUCCAGCCGGUAGGCGGCCGCGGAAGCCCGGUCACCGGGACGAGUGGCCGGCGGAGGCCGCGAGUCCGCACGCAGGUGGCGACAGGACAGAGCGAGUCGAGCACGUCGAGCCGCACCGGACCCGGUACCGGGUCCUCCCUCCAGUACAGUUUGCAGUGCGGCCCCUUGGAGGUGACGCCCGGGGACCCAGGAAGCCGGUUCCGGUGAAGGGGCCGCUCGGCUGGCGGGGAGGCGCGGUGGGGCCGGGCUGCGCCCCGCGUGCCGGGUACCCGCUGGGCGCGGUUGUGGUUCCUCCCGCGCGUGAGCGUGUCAGCUCACGGAACCUGGGCCGACUUUCUGCAGGGUUCUUGUUUAAAGCAGCAGGCUCACCAGAACGGGACCCGCCGGCGGGGGACUCGGGGACAGUUUACAGUUCAGAGCGCUGGCUGGGGGACUGACUGCCUCCUUGCGGAGCGGCGGGACCCGUGCGCAGGGGAGGUGUUCCUGAUUUUACUUACAGAGAAGGAGGCUGAGAGACAGAACUAAAUGACAGCCUAGAGCCACAGCCUCUUCGGCCCCAGAAGGGCUGGUUAAGAGGACAUUAUUCAGCUUCAAGUUCUGUUGAAGACACAAGGCUUGAACCCGGAGAGGUAGCAGAGCAGCAGCAGGAAGGCGGGAGGGCGGGGAGCCUUCAGGUGUGUCUCCAGCAUCUAACACUGUGUGUGAGCCACAGCAAGGGCUCAGUAAACACCGUUUGAAUGAACAGAUGGCCUUGGGUUCACAGCUGCUCCUCAGCAUUCUAGUUGUGCUGCCUCCUCCCUGACAGUUAGGCCCCUACUUAGGAGCAAGCCUCGUUUUUACUUCUCCCCCCACCGCCACUGUGGUCUUUGGGUUUGAGAGAUUAGAGUCACUCCUGGCUCUAAGGGGCACAGCUCUGGGGUGGUGGGGUGCCCACUUAGGGCCACUGAGCUUGGAGAAGGAGUUUGCCAGGAGAUUCUGGAAGAGGUGAUGUUUCUCUUUCUCUUUCUGGACAUGUCACGUGUGGAUGGUGCUGCUGCAGCCAUCUUGCCACCCUGAAGAGGGUGCCCUUGUACAAUGAGGCAGACAGAAGAGGUGGGGAGAAAUCAAGCCUUUGAUGGCUGUGUUAGGAACCAACUCAGCCUUGAAGUUGGGACUUUCUAGUUUCAUGAGCCAGUAAAUUCCCUUUUUAAAAAAAUACUUUUUAAAACAGGGCAUAAAUAAAGGUACUUGUGAGUUAGCUAGUGUGGCUUUGUGUGCUAGCAGAGUUAACCUGCCUCAGGCUGAGCGCCUCAUCUGCGGAAGAGGAGCAGUAAUAACACUGUUCCCUCGGUGGUCCACGUGAGGAGGGCGUGAGGUGGGGUGUGGUCCUAGCCCGGGGCCGAGCACAAAGCUGGCAUCCAGAGGCCUUUUGUGUGCUUCAAUGUUUUGCAUUGAUGGCAGCUUUCUUAUUUGCCAAGGAUCCUUCCAACAACCAGCUUCUAAACUUGGCACCAGCGUACGGACAGACUGGUAGGCGCUCCUUCUGGAAGAUGAGCCCGGUUUAAGCAGCCUUGGAGCCAGGGGCCUGUGUACCUCGUGGAGUCUGCAGGGAGGAAGGACACAUCUGGUCACGCACGCUGAGCCCCUGGUAGCCUGGAGGCGGCUGACUUAGGGGCCUGUGGGCCCGUGAGCACCGGACUGCGCCUUCCCGCGGCCCGCGAGGUGCUCGGUGCUGGAGCUCGUGCGUGUUUGCCGCCAGAGGCUGCGUGACUUGGGGCUGAUCUGCAGGCGUCCGUGGCAGUGCCUGGGUGGUGGCACCUCUAACACGUUGCCGCCAAAACCAUGUGUGUGGUUUUUUCACUGCCUCAGAAGAGGCAGCCGAGCUGCUGCUGGGCCAGAGGGAGCCGGGGCUGCGUUUCUGGGAGGUCACUUGGGACCUGGCUUUUGGGGAGAUUCAUGGAAGGCAGGAAAAGGGGAGGCCCCUAAGUUUAGGGGCUGAGAUGUGGUCAUGAGCCCAGAGAGGGUGUGAGGCAGAGGUGGAAACACACCUACUCACACACCCACAUGCUCACACACACCUACACACAGGCUGCAGAGAGUGGCUUCUGUGACUUCCGGUGGUUUCUUGUCCCUUGUGCACCGGACUAUAUUUUCCAAAAAUGGUCACAAAGAUGCUUGGGAAACACAUGCUUGCCCAGAACCUUGCCCCCCCCCCACGUAGUCAGGAGAUGGCAUCGGGCCCCUCCUUGGGCUCGGGCAGCCCUGGACUGAGUUCAGAAGCAGAGCUGUAACUUCUGGGGUGCAGCCUCUGCAGGGCGCCCUCAGUGCAGAUGUCCUUGGAGCCCAGCCGCGCUCUGCGCGGCACCCAGGCCUGCCGUGGGGAGAGGAACCAGCCGAGUGACCCCGGCGGGCCUCAGCCGUUGGCGAUCUUAAGGGGAGACAAGAACGCCGAGACCAGGGACUGCACCCAGGCAGAGGGAGCGGCAGCAGGGCCGCCCCGCCGCCCGUCAGGGCCCCGGGUCCACUUCAGGGGAGACUGGCCGGGACGGGCGAGGGUGCUGCCCUCUUCUGAUACGCGUCUUGGAUCCACCACAGCUUGGGCUCUGGGCCGAGCCCAAGCCCCCGUGAGCGCGGGUGGGCCCUUGGCUUCACGCCUCCCCAGUUCUCCGUUCGGGGGCACGCUGCUCUGGGGAAGAGCCUGGCGUCCCCCUUACUUGCCGCAAGAAAUAAUAAACCUUCCUGCGCCUG